AUGGUGAAGCUGUACGUGCAGGCGGUGCCCCCGCCGGAUCUGAACAAGAACACCGAGUGGUUCAUGUACCUGGUGGUCUGGACCACCUACAUCUUCAUCCUCUUCGUCUCCUGGGUCCUCAUCCUCUCCAUCUUCGGCUGCACCCCCAGCAUGGCCUGGACGCUCGUCAACCUCGGCCACUUCGCGAUUACAUACCACUUCUUCCACUGGAAGAAGGGAACCCCAUUCGCUGAUGAUCAGGCGAUAUGUAAUAGGUUGACAGAUCCGACACAAAUGGACAACGGCAAGCAGCUUACUCGCAACAUAAAAUUUCUUGUUGUGGUUCCUGUAGUCCUCUCAGUGUUAUUCUGUUUCAAUUUUAUUAAUACUGCUUUUGGGAGCUUAUCUAGCAAGGAACAGCACGGCAAGAUGUAUGCACAAAGAUUGAUUCUGGCUAGUCAGAAAUACUGCACUUAUUUAUUAAUUCUGCAAAGAACACUUGUUAGUAACAUCUAG
rnacentral:rRNA from 1 species